CCUCCAAGAUGGGGAUAACCUUCCGAAAGGAGGGCUAAUACCGAAUGAGACCACGGUUGCUUUGGCAACUGAGGUCAAAGGUGACCUCUACUUGUAAGUUAUCGCUUGGAGAUGAGCUUAUGCACCAUCAGCUAGUUGGUAGGGUAAUGGCCUACCAAGGCUUUGACGGUUAGCUGAUCUGAGAGGUUGAUCAGCCACACUGGAACUGAGACACGGUCCAG
rnacentral:rRNA from 1 species